rnacentral:tRNA from 1 species
GGCGCCGUAGCCAAGUGGUAAGGCAGAGCUCUGCAAAAGCUCCAUUCAUCAGUUCGAAUCUGAUCGGCGCCU